GAUGAACGCUGGCGGCGUGCCUAAUACAUGCAAGUCGAGCGAACAGACGAGGAGCUUGCUCCUCUGACGUUAGCGGCGGACGGGUGAGUAACACGUUGAUAACCUACCUAUAAGACUGGGAUAACUUCGGGAAACCGGUGCUAAUACCGGAUAGUAUAUUGAACCGCAUGGUUCAAUAGUGAAAGACGGUUUUACUGUCACUUAUAGAUUGAUCCGAGCCGCAUUAGCUAGUUGGUAAGAUAACGGCUUACCAAGGCAACGAUGCGUAGCCGACCUGAGAGGGUGAUCGGCCACACUGGAACUGAGACACGGUCCAGACUCCUACGGGAGGCAGCAGUAGGGAAUCUUCCGCAAUGGGCGAAAGCCUGACGGAGCAACGCCGCGUGAGUGAUGAAGGUCUUCGGAUCGUAAAACUCUGUUAUUAGGGAAGAACAAAUGUGUAAGUAACUAUGCCCGUCUUGACGGUACCUAAUCAGAAAGCCACGGCUAACUACGUG
rnacentral:rRNA from 1 species